GGCUUGAUAGUUCAAUGGAUAGAACAACUCUCUCCUAAAGAGUAGAUUCGGGUUCGAUUCCCGAUCGGGCUA
rnacentral:tRNA from 1 species